AGAGUUUGAUUAUGGCUCAGGAUGAACGCUAGCUACAGGCUUAACACAUGCAAGUCGAGGGGCAGCAUUGGAGUAGCAAUACUCAGAUGGCGACCGGCGCACGGGUGAGUAACACGUAUCCAACCUGCCGCUUACUCGGGGAUAGCCUUUCGAAAGAAAGAUUAAUACCCGAUGGUAUAAAGAGUUCGCAUGUUCUCUUUAUUAAAGAAUUUCGGUAAGCGAUGGGGAUGCGUUCCAUUAGAUAGUUGGCGGGGUAACGGCCCACCAAGUCUACGAUGGAUAGGGGUUCUGAGAGGAAGGUCCCCCACAUUGGAACUGAGACACGGUCCAAACUCCUACGGGAGGCAGCAGUGAGGAAUAUUGGUCAAUGGACGAGAGUCUGAACCAGCCAAAAGUAGCGUGAAGGAUGACUGCCCUAUGGGUUGUAAACUUCUUUUAUAAGGGAAUAAAGUGAGGGACGUGUCCCUUUUUGUAUGUACCUUAUGAAUAAGGAUCGGCUAACUACGUGCCAGCCGCCGC
rnacentral:rRNA from 1 species